rnacentral:rRNA from 1 species
UACGAAGGGGGCUAGCGUUGCUCGGAAUCACUGGGCGUAAAGGGUGCGUAGGCGGGUCUUUUAAGUCAGGGGUGAAAUCCUGGAGCUCAACUCCAGAACUGCCUUUGAUACUGAGGAUCUUGAGUUCGGGAGAGGUGAGUGGAACUGCGAGUGUAGAGGUGAAAUUCGUAGAUAUUCGCAAGAACACCAGUGGCGAAGGCGGCUCACUGGCCCGAUACUGACGCUGAGGCACGGAAAGCGUGGGGAGCAAACAGG